UACGUAGGGGGCAAGCGUUGUCCGGAUUUAUUGGGCGUAAAGAGCGUGUAGGCGGUUUGGUAGGUCCGUUGUGAAAACUCGAGGCUCAACCUCGAGACGCCGGCGGAAACCAUCAGGCUAGAGUCCGGAAGAGGAGAGUGGAAUUCCUGGUGUAGCGGUGAAAUGCGCAGAUAUCAGGAGGAACACCAAUGGCGAAGGCAGCUCGCUGGGACGUGACUGACGCUGAGACGCGAAAGCCAGGGGAGCAAACGGG
rnacentral:rRNA from 1 species